rnacentral:tRNA from 1 species
GAAUUAUAAUUUUGAGCUUCUAACUCAUUCUAAAGUAAAUAAAUUUACUUAUAAUUCU